GUGCUUAGUUCAGCAGCACAUACACUGAAAUUCAAAUGAUAGAUGAGAUUAGCAUGGCUCCUGGGCUAAGGAUAACAUGCAAAUUUGUGAAAUGUUACAUUAAAAA
ensembl:snRNA U6 U6 spliceosomal RNA